AAAACUAUUUUGUCAUACAUGUAUUUGCUUUUAUUUAGUAAUAUGUUUGCAACAUGGGAGAUUGUAACACGUGGGCUUCUCUUAAUAAAUUUAAAGAUAUCUUUCUCAGUAUAUUUGUAUUAACAGCACAGUUACUUGGCAACUAUAAAUGUUUUUAUAUUGAAUCAUAGAGGACAUAUGUGUGUGUUAUGUGUGUGUGUCCUAAGAAAACGAUCAAAUAAACGAGCUAAACAAUGUUUUCGCGACGGCGACGGCAUGACAGAUCGUUUCACGUAAGCUUGAGUUCCGGUGCUUUUCUUCCCUCUUAUGAGACGCUGCGACAGCGAUGCGCAUUAAAUGGUCGCCUGUACCAUGUGACCUCAUUCAAUGUUUGUAAACACGCGUCAAGCACAUGUGAUCCAGAAGUGUUUAGGAACGUGUAAAGCGCGGUGGCCAAUCAGUGGCCGGGGGAGAGUCUGGGGGCGGGGCUUGAGUAUUUCGCCCUGGAAAAAUCGAUAGGAAUCUUGUAAUGAUGCGAGGAGACUACGUCUCAAGAAUGGAAAGUGAGGAGUUGGGUCGGACUGAAACAAGUAAAGAGUGCAGGCAUCCGAGGCAUGUAGAUUAUUUCGAAAAAGAUUCCAUUGAAAGGCAAUCGUUUGAAACGAUUUUUAACGUUUGGAGCCUCGAUAAAGAUGCCUUUCCCCUUUAAGAGCUGGAUCAGCAUUACGCAAGGUGUCAGGUGCACAGAGGCAGCAAACCAAGAAUAAACUGAUGUACUAGAGUGAAAAAAGAAACUUGUAAACAAAUGCUCUCCCUCCCUCUUGGUCACUCCCUAUACUUUUCUUUUUGUACUCAUUCUGUUGACUCAGGUCUACAAUAGUUCAAACGUAAUACCUCUGCUCUCGGGUAUACGCAGUAGUGGCAAGGAAACAAGUGUUAACAUACAGUCUCACAGAAAUAAAUCCUAUUAAACGAAAGUAUGGAUCAGAACAAGCUAUCUUGACAGAAUGAGGUUUAAAAGCUAUAGUUAUGCAAUGUAGCAUCUUUAAUAUUUGUCUGUUUUGAAUUUUGUUUUCCAGUGCCAUCUCCUCCUGUGCUGCUCCUGGAAGCUGAAUUCAGAUGGUGCCAUAGAGUACUUUAUGGCAUCUAGCACCAUUUGAAAUCAGUGUUCUUGGGUCGGUUUUGACAUCACAUGGGAGACCUAAAUGGUGUUGACUGCUGCAUUGUUUGUGGUCAAUUUCUUUGCAUAUCUGAUUUGCAUAAGUUUCAUGAAUUAAAUAAAACUAAUUUAUUAUUAUG